AGAGUUUGAUCCUGGCUCAGAUUGAACGCUGGCGGCAUGCCUAACACAUGCAAGUCGAACGGUAACGCAAGGAGCUUGCUCCUUGGCGACGAGUGGCGGACGGGUGAGUAAUGCUUAGGAAUCUGCCCAGUAGUGGGGGACAACUCGGGGAAACUCGAGCUAAUACCGCAUACGCCCUAAGGGGGAAAGUGGAGGAUCUUCGGACUUCACGCUAUUGGAUGAGCCUAAGUCGGAUUAGCUUGUUGAUGAGGUAAAGGCUCACCAAGGCGACGAUCCGUAGCUGGUCUGAGAGGACGAUCAGCCACACUGGGACUGAGACACGGCCCAGACUCCUACGGGAGGCAGCAGUGGGGAAUAUUGGACAAUGGGGGCAACCCUGAUCCAGCAAUGCCGCGUGUGUGAAGAAGGCCUGCGGGUUGUAAAGCACUUUCAGUAGAGAAGAAAAGCCUACGGUUAAUACCCGUGGGUCUUGACGUAACCUACAGAAGAAGCUCCGGCUAACUCCGUGCCAGCAGCCGCGGUAAU
rnacentral:rRNA from 1 species